UACGAUAAGGGCAAACCCUGAGUGAUCAGGGGACGCAAAGGAAAGGGUCUUGAUAAGCCGUUGAAACGGUUUAAACAGUUUCAGCGGCUUAUGGGAAAGAUAGCCUUACUGCCGAAG
rnacentral:ncRNA from 1 species